AAAUCAGUUAUGGUUCCUUAGAUCGUUCCAUUUUACAUGGAUAACUGUAGUAAUUCUAGAGCUAAUACAUGAGACGAAGUGAAUGACUGCUGCGAAAGUGGCGGAAAUCCUGCAUUUAUUAGACCAAAAACCAAUGAGUGCUGCUCUUCACGGGGUACGCGCUGUACGUUUGGUGACUCUGGAUAACUUUGAGCGGAUCGUAUGGCCUGCGCCGACGACGUAUCUUUCAAGUGUCUGCCCUAUCAACUUUCGAUGGUAGAUGAUUUGUCUACCAUGGUCGCAACGGGUAACGGGGAAUCAGGGUUCGAUUCCGGAGAGGGAGCAUGAGAAACGGCUACCACUUCUAAGGAAGGCAGCAGGCGCGCAAAUUACCCACUCUCAGAACGAGGAGGUAGUGACGAAAAAUAACGAUACUGGACUGUUAAACAGGCCCAGUAAUUGGAAUGAGUACACUCUAAAUCCUUUAACGAGGAUCAAGUGGAGGGCAAGUCUGGUGCCAGCAGCCGCGGUAACACCAGCUCCACUAGUUUAUGAUGUAUGUUGCGGUUUUAGAGCUCGUAGUCGGAUCUGAGGUUUGAACUGACGGUUUUAUCUUUGACCGACGUGUCGGAUAAGUACUGUCUGUUUCGACCUACCGCCUGGUGAUCAUAAAAGGACCUGUAACAGGGUCUGCGCGUUCGAUGCUCUUCAGUGAGUGUCGUUCGUGGCCAGGGAGUUUACUUUGAAAAAAUUAGAGUGUUCAAAGCAGGCAUACGCUCGCCUGAAUAAUGUUGCAUGGAAUAAUGGAAUAGGACCUCGGUUCUAUUUUGUUGGUCGUUUGGCUUUGCGUGCGCGUGUGUGAGUGAUUCGCGUCGCUUGCGCGCGUGCACGCGGCCAGGCUCUUGUUUCGGAACUUGAGGUAAUGAUCGAGAG
rnacentral:rRNA from 1 species